AACUCUAUUCCAAGAAAGAAGGUUCUUCCUCAUGUUUUCUGUGUUUAUAAAUCUGCUUUACUUCCAGGCCAAAAUGUAAUUAGGUGUUGUUUCUAUUUCUCUUAAAAUUUUUUUAUUAUGAAAUUCCAUGAAUUCAGAAUCAUAUAACAAACAUCUGUUAUCUUACCACCAAGAAUUAAUUGAAUGCUAACAUUUUGUCAUUUUUGCUAGAAGAAACAAAACAAUUUAGGAACGAUUGAAAUCCUCUUUGUAUCUCUCUCCAAUUUCAUUCCUAGCCGCCUUCUCCAGAGAAAAUGCUCUAUGAGGUUGGUGAAUAUAUAUUCUUAUUGGUUAAGAAUCCACCUGAAUGCAGGGGACACGGGUUCGAUCCCUGGUCCAGGAAGAUCCCACAUGCCAUGGAGCAACUAAGCCAGCGAGCCACAACUACUGAGCCCAUGCACCACAACUACUGAAGCCCACGUGCAUAGAACCCGUGCUCCGCAACAAGAGAAGCCACUGCAAUGAGAAGCCCAUGCACCGCAACGAAGAGUAGCCCCCGCUCGCCAAAACUAGAGAAAGCCCGCGCACAGCAGUGAAGACCCAACGCAGCCAAAAAUAAAAAAAUUAAUUUAUGAAAAAAAGAAAAUGUCUUUUCACACAUGUGAUUCAUGUAGCAGUGGAAACGCUGCAAUUUGUAGAGUGCUGAAAAGCACUGCAAAGUGAUGAGAGGGCCACAUAUUUUGUCAUAACUACUCAGCUCUCCAUUGUAGCACAAAAGCCACCAGAGACAAUAUGCAAACAAAUGAGCCUGGCUAUGUUCCAAUAAAGCUUUAUUUAUGGGCACUGAAAUCUGAGUUUCAUAUAAUUUUCACUUGUCACAAAAUAUUAAAAAAAAAUUUUUUUCAACCAUUUAAAAAACAUCUUUAGCUUAAGGACAUACGAAAACAGGCAACAGGCUAGAUUUGGCCUAUGGGUUGUAGUUUGCCUAUCCCAUUUCCCCCAUCUAUGUUUCUGUCCUUUUGCCAAUACCACAUUAUCAAGAUUACUGUAGCUAAAAAGUUUUGAAAUCAGGUAAUAUGAGUCCUCCAACUUUGUUCUUUUUUGAAAUUGUUUCUGGCUAUUUUAGCUUCUUUGCCUUUCCAUGUACGUUUUAGAAUCAGCUUGUUGAUUUCUACAGAAAAUCCUACUCGGAUUUUGGUUAGAAUUGCAUUGAAUCUGCAGAGCAGCUUGGGGAGAAUUGACAUCUUAACAACAUGGAGAGAACUUGAUAUAUUUCUCUGUUUAGGUCUUUGAUAUCUUCAGUCUUUUAUAGUUUUCCGCAUAUAGAUUUUAGAUUUUGCACGUGUUUUGUUAGACUUAUACCUAAGUAUUUCAUGAUUUUUGGUCAGAGCUGUCUUUUUUAAAUGCCAGUUAUAUCAUCUUGUUUCCCCUGUUUAAAACCCUUUGGUGGGUUCCUGCUGUUCUUAGGAUAAACUCCAUAAUCUUUAAAAGCUUAUAAAAGGCCCCACAUGAUCUGGCCCCUGCUCUCUUUUUCAGCCUAAUUUUAUGCCAUUCUUCUCCUUGCUCAAAAUGUUUCAGUCUCAGACUAGCAGGAAAUGGUUUUAUCAACUAAGGGAUAUAGCUUUUUGAAUAUCUGAAAGAGUAAAUAAAUAUUUUCAAACAGACACUUGAAAAAUAUAUUUUUACUUUAUUGAAAAAAGCCAUUCAGUGGUCUCCAGCAAAGAGUGAACUUAGAUUUUGGCCAAGUCAUUGGGCUCUCUGUGUGGAAUUCUUUGAUCUUUGUCUGCACUUCAUCCACUGAGGCAAAGUGCUCUAUGAGUGUUGUUUACAAGGGGCGUAGCUCUGUAUAUAUUAACUAAAUAAAAUGUUCUUUCCUUCCUUAAAAAUGUGCUGAAACUUGGGUAAAGGCUGCGUUUCUG
rnacentral:lncRNA from 1 species